rnacentral:sRNA from 1 species
AGCCCCCAAUUUUGUGAGUGUCCCUGAAGCAUUGUGACAAUUCCAUUUUAUGUGUCUGCGUGCUCAUAUCAAGACUAAGGAGUGAUGGAGACUCUCCAGUUCAGAUCCAGUAGCUUUUAGGGAAGGAACUACAGUUGCUGACUUGAGUUGAAGAAGCAUCUACUUAAUGUCUGGUCAAAUCCUACAAGAAAUACAGAAAUCUAUGAUUAAAAAGCUGAGCACUUUGAUAUACUGCAAAGGGUAGAGAAGGCAGGACGGUAGAAAUCUUCUGCAAGGAAGAAUGAAUUUCAGGAUUUAUCACUAAAUCAGACAAAGUCAUUUAUUUAGUCCCCCUGACACAGCAGGGCAAACUGAGUUGGCAUACAAGUUACCUGGAGAAAAAGAGAGCAAUUCCAGGACUUCCUCUUCAGCCUAAAAGAAGGUACCAGAUCUGUGCACUGGGGCUAUGUGGAAGAGACGUGCUUAUUGCCCCUGAUAUGGAUGCAGAGGCUGAAGAUAAAACGCUGCGUACUCGCUCUAAAGGAACCGAGGUGCCAAUGGAUUCGCUAAUCCAGGAGCUCAGAAUCAGUGUGCCCAUGGACAUGAGGCCACUUACCUGGUGAGGGACAUCAGAGUCUUUUAAAGGAACCAAGCCAUUCAGAGAAAAAAAGGCCAGACCUGAACAUUAGAAUCCAAGAAACUGACACCUUCAAGAAAACACUUUUUUACCUAUAAGCCACUUUGAGAGGGACUCAAGUCUGAUCACCCGAGAAGCUGAUGAUAAGGAUUAAUUUAGAAGAGAAGUGUCCCUCCAGGGUGUGGGGGAGGCGUCUGUAGCAU